rnacentral:ribozyme from 13 species
CAACGCACGCAAUAAACAUAUAAUUAGAACAUGAAGUCGUCGUGCGAAUAUGGAAUUAUAAAGAGAUUAAAUGAAUUGACAUUGGUGUUGUUCUUGUUUGAUUGAUGUCUUUGACUUCUUUUUUUCUUGUUUUUCUU